UCCACAAAUUAUUUUAUACUUUUCAUUUUCCUUUUAUCUUUUUUUAGCUUUUCCCUCCACCACAUUUGGUUACACUCUGCCUUCAUUUUUGCUUUGGAUUAGGGUUCAGUUCAGUGAAAUUGGUCUCCGUCGUCGCUCGUCACCAGUCAUCGUCGGUCAAUGCUCGUCGUCGGCUGCGACGUUCAGUGAAAUCGUCUCUGUCGUGGCUCUUUUGUCGUCGACCUGUGCUUGUCAUCGUCAACCUUCAAGGUACCACCAUGAAAAGGAAAGAAUGACACUAGAUUAUAUUUUAUUUGUCAAGUGAACCCAAAAGCUACCAACUAAAUGAUAUUUGUUUAGGAAAGGUUAGGAAGGAGUAGAUAACUGACUGAAUUACAACUCUUGAUCAACUCUUGUCCCCAAAGGUUGUACUAUAUAAAGCUGAAUUCUAUACUAAUGAUGGGGGAAAGCAAAUUAAAAUUGCUUCUUAAAUAGGUUGUCUAACAUAGUUUCUGUAUUGGAGGUGGACUCUGCAGACUCCACAGACUGUGAAUCGACUCAUCACCAAUCUCAACUAACAUCCUAGUUCUAUUCUCUAUCUUUUUAUUCAUUUGCUUUAUUAUUUGUUUCAUUUUUCAUGUUUGUGUGGCCUAUAUUAUUAAAACUAGCAUUAUUAAGAAAUCAUAUGAUUUUUUCUAUUUUGUAAAUGAUUUUGAGUUGCUAGUUAAUGUUCUUUUGAUGGAUAUAUUCAUAUUUCAUUCCUUUUCCAACAAAUAGCAAAAAAUCUCCUUGUGUUGUUUUAAUGAGCGAUGUUGAUGCAUGCAUAAGUUUGUGGUUUUGUUGGAUUCAAAUUAUUCUCGAUCAUUACUCUAAUGUGUGAUUCUCAUGGGUUUCCAUUCUCAAUCAUAUUUGCUUUCAAUAUUUUAGAAAUUCAGCUACCUUGGAUGGGAUUGCAUGAUGGACCCAUGUCAUGAGUUUUUCUGUCAAUUAUCUAUUUCCUUAUUAUAAAAGCCAAAAGUUGUGUACUACAUAUAGGACAUCCAAACUUCUCUUUUUAAAAUACUUUCGUAAAGUCCUAUAGAAAUCACAUCUUUUUAAAAAGAGAAAAAUGAAUGAUUUAAAUUCACGCAUCUUUGUUAUUUUUGUUCUUUCCCUCCUUGGUAUGAUAUAUAUUGAUGAAUGAAAGGGUUACAAAUUUAAUUAUUGGUGAACCAUAUUUCUUAUAUUCUUAUAUAUUAUAACUUUCAAUCAAAAAGUGUUACAAGUGUUAGUGUAUUUUAUAAAAUACUCAUUGUCACUUUCUUUAGGUAUUUAUUUCAAUGGAUAAAUCUUGGAUUGCUAAGCCUCGAAAUACAAUUGAAUAUUCUUAGAUUUUGCUUUUGAGAAUGGGGCUAUUGGAGAUACAAUUAAAUGCCCAUGUCCCAAAUGUGGGUUUAUGAAAAGCAAACAUGAAAUUAUAAGUAAUGUGCCAACUAGUAUAGACAGAAUUCAAUGGGCUCAUUUUGUUACUUAUCUUCUAAAACCGAAAACAAUGGUACAAGUUUCAUUAUUUUUGUUCUUGCGGAAACAAAUAAGAGAAGUCAGAUACAAAUGUCACAUUACCUCAAUCCACAAUCUCUCGAGAUGGCUCAUCCUCGGCUUGCGUAUGUCAUCUGCUGGUGUCACAGUUUGGACCCAUGAGGGGUUACCUACGAAGAGGACUCUGAUGUCAAGUCAGUCAAAAGAUUCUUAAAAGGUCAAAUUACUUGAUUAAGGGAUUAAUGAAUGCUCACCUUUAAUUACUGGGGUCCACGCGUAUUUAUAGAGUUAUUAAUUAUGUUUGGCCUUGUCAUGGGCUGGGCCAUUACUUGGGUCGUAGAUAGGCCUGGGCCUAGCCCAAGCCCCUUAGUUCAAUGAUUGUUGGUCUUAGGGGUUUUGUUUGUAAUAUUCUAAGUUUGGAAUGGUCACCAGAUGUCGUCUUGUCCUUUGAAGUAGGUGACCUAGGCCGCUUAUGUUUGUCCGUUGAUUUGUUUGAUAACUGCUUGCGUGCUUGUGGGGCUUUAUGUAGGCGAAUUUAUCCGUGUAGUUUUGUUAGGCCGCCUAGGUUCAGUACAAUUUUGAAUGGUGUGAAUGGUUUGUGUAGGUGUUUUUUUAUUGUUGUAUGAACUUACAAAUGUUUUGUUCAUAGGAGAUUUGUAAAAAAAAUAGAGAAAAUCGCCACAAGCAAGUAUUUCCGCAUACCGGUGGUUCUAAACCUAUCUCAAGAAGAAGGCAUGAGAUGGUAAUGAUAUUAGCUAACAUGAUAUCUUUUACUAUUUUUUAAAGUUUACUAUUUAACUUAAUUUCUCUUUUUAUUUAGUUUUUGGAAAUUGGACAGUUGCCUAGUCGGGGAAAGUUAUACAUUGAUACUCAUAAAAGAAAGGAUGGAUCAUUUGUAAAUGAUGCGACAAAGGCUAUAGCAGUUAGCUUUACUAUAAUAUGAUAUUUUCAUCUGUUUUCCUUCAAUGUUUAGAGUUUUCACUACAUAUUGUUGUAUGCCUAUAGGAACAAAUUGAAGUGUAUUUGACUCAAAGCACUAAUGAUGAAUAAGAGGUUUCCCCUAAUGAUGUUAUUGGUAGAGUGUUAGGCUCAGAGCAUUCUAGGAGGGUGCGAUGCAUGGGUCUGGGAGCAACUCCUACUAACUCAUUUAGAAAUACAAGACUUCGACUUUCUGAUUUAAGCAUUGCUUCAUCUAGCACUGCCACAUCAUCAACAUCUUCUAAUCAGUGGCAACAAAAAUACACUAAUUUAGAAUCCCAGGUUCAAACCACCUUGGAUGCACUAAAAGCCUACAUGAUAAUGAAGGAAGGAAAGAUCCCUGAUGAAUUGGCUGCCUUCUUUGAUCCUUAACCACAAAAAACUCAUGAUGCAAAUGAGCCUGAGUCUCCUAUGGGUACAAAAGGAUCAUCUGGUAGCAACAUUUAGGUGGUUGUUGGUGUUUUUUAGGAUGAAACUAUGUUUAGUGUAUUAUGAACUUUGAGUAAGCAUGGAUUAAGUUGUAAUUACAUUUCAAUUUUGUUUUGAGAAUCAAUAGUUUUUAUUAAGCAUG